GCAUCUACAACAAUCAGCUUGCUGGCUGUGAUAUAUUUUAGCCCUCCAGUCAGCAAACCAUGUUUAUUAAGGUUUCCCCAAAGGUUAUAAAGAGUGUGUAGCAUCUCACCGGGGAGCGGGUGACACGCCUGCUGCCCUUUCCCUGCUCAUGGUGGCUACAUCGUCUGAUGACUCCGCAAGUCUUUUCUUAGCUACAGGAGGGCCAGACC
rnacentral:lncRNA from 1 species